AGUGAACGCUGGCGGUAGGCCUAACACAUGCAAGUCGAACGGCAGCACAGUAAGAGCUUGCUCUUACGGGUGGCGAGUGGCGGACGGGUGAGGAAUACAUCGGAAUCUACUUUUUCGUGGGGGAUAACGUAGUGAAACUUACGCUGAUACCGCAUACGACCUACGGGUGAAAGCAGGGGAUCUUCGGACCUUGCGCGAUUGAAUGAGCCGAUGUCGGAUUAGCUAGUUGGCGGGGUAAAGGCCCACCAAGGCGACGAUCCGUAGCUGGUCUGAGAGGAUGAUCAGCCACACUGGAACUGAGACACGGUCCAGACUCCUACGGGAGGCAGCAGUGGGGAAUAUUGGACAAUGGGCGCAAGCCUGAUCCAGCCAUACCGCGUGGGUGAAGAAGGCCUUCGGGUUGUAAAGCCCUUUUGUUGGGAAAGAAAAGCAGCAGGUUAAUACCCCGCUGUUCUGACGGUACCCAAAGAAUAAGCACCGGCUAACUUCGUG
rnacentral:rRNA from 1 species